rnacentral:rRNA from 1 species
CGGGGUGCCCAGGCGCGAAAACUUUGCAAUACACGAAAGUGUGACAGGGCUAUCCCGAGUGCCAUCCGCUGAGGAAGGCUUUUACCCAGUCUAGAAAGCUGGGGGAAUAAGGAGAGGGCAAGUCUGGUGUCAGCCGCCGCGGUAAUACCAGCUCUCCGAGUGGUGUGGAUGUUUAUUGGGCCUAAAGCAUCCGUAGCUGGCUAAGUUAGUCCCUUGUUAAAUCCACCGAAUUAAUCGUUGGAUCGCGGGGGAUACUGCUUGGCUAGGGGACGAGAGAGGCAGACGGUAUUUUCGGGGUAGGGGUGAAAUCCUAUAAUCCCGGGAAGACCACCAGUGGCGAAGGCUGUCUGCUAGAACGCGCCCGACGGUGAGGGAUGAAAGCUGGGGGAGCGAACCGGAUUAGAUACCCGGGUAGUCCCAGCUGUAAACGAUGCAGGCUAGGUGUUUGGACGGCCACGUGCCGUUCUAGUGCCGCAGGGAAGCUGUUAAGCCUGCCGCCUGGGGAGUACGAUCGCAAGAUUGAAACUUAAAGGAAUUGGCGGGGAGCAC